GAUAUUUUUGUAUUUUGCUUUUACCAUUGUUGUGUUCUCGUCCACUGAGAUUGUCUUCUCUUCAA
rnacentral:sRNA from 1 species